GGGCCAUUUUGGGGCCAUUUCCCCCCAUUUAAGGCCAUUUUGGGGUCAAUUCCCCCCAUUUAGGCCCAUUAUGGGGCCAUAUAACCCCAUUUAG
ensembl:lncRNA